AUUGAACGCUGGCGGAAUGCUUUACACAUGCAAGUCGAACGGCAGCACGGACUUCGGUCUGGUGGCGAGUGGCGAACGGGUGAGUAAUGUAUCGGAACGUGCCCAGUCGUGGGGGAUAACGUAGUGAAAAUUACGCUAAUACCGCAUACGAUCUAUGGAUGAAAGCGGGGGAUCGCAAGACCUCGCGCGAUUGGAGCGGCCGAUAUCAGAUUAGGUAGUUGGUGGGGUAAAGGCCCACUAAGCCAACGAUCUGUAGCUGGUCUGAGAGGACGACCAGCCACACUGGAACUGAGACACGGUCCAGACUCCUACGGGAGGCAGCAGUGGGGAAUUUUGGACAAUGGGCGAAAGCCUGAUCCAGCCAUUCCGCGUGCAGGAUGAAGGCCCUCGGGUUGUAAACUGCUUUCGUACAGAACGAAAAGGUUUCUACUAAUACUAGGAGCUCAUGACGGUACUGUAAGAAUAAGCACCGGCUAACUACGUGCCAGCAGCCGCAGUAA
rnacentral:rRNA from 1 species